UAGAAUGAUCCGUAAAGCUCAGGAGGGAUAGCACCACGUCGUUUCUAUGCAAUUAUAUAUAUAUAGAUGUGGGAGCUAUCCAUCCUGAGUUUCAUGGUUCCUUCUU
rnacentral:pre_miRNA from 1 species